rnacentral:misc_RNA from 1 species
GAUGAAGAACGCAGCGAAAUGCGAUACGUAAUGUGAAUUGCAGAAUUCAGUGAAUCAUCGAAUGUUUGAACGCAUAUUGCGCUCUCUGGUAUUCCGGAGAGCAUGCUUGUUUGAGUAUCAGUAAACACCUCAACUACCAUAUCUUUUUUGAAAUGGGAGUUGGACUUGAGUGAUCCCAACGCUUUUCCUCACCGAAAAGUGGCGGGUUACUUGAAAUGCAGGUGCAGCUGGACUUUUCUCUGAGCUAUAAGCAUAUCUAUUUAGUCUGCCUAAAAAACAGAUUAUUACCUUUGCUGCAGCUAACAUAAAGGAGAUUAGUUCUUGAGCUGACUGAUGCAGGAUUCACAAAGACAGGCUUCGGCCGACUUUGUAAACUCGAUCUCAAAUCAAGUAAGACUACCCGCUGAACUUAAGCAUAUCAAUAAGCGGAGGA